AGGAGAACCUUCCCUGGUGUGAGAGACUCUCCCUGUGGGCUGGAUGACGUAAGUGGCCAUGGAGAAGCCAUGUGGCCAGGAACUGCAGGUGGCAGCGAGGACCCAAGGGUGGCCUCCAGCCAAAAGCCAGAUGAAAGGGAGACCCUCCAGCAUACAGAUGCAAAGGAUGAUCUCUACCAACCACCUGGAUGACCUUGGCUGCAGAUUCUUCCCCAGCUGUGCCUCACAAUGAGAAUGCAGCCCAGCUAACACCUUGACUGCAGCCUUAUAAGAUGCUGAGUGAAGGACCGUUAGGACGUGCCUGGACUCUUCAACAGAAACUCCACAAGAGGAAACUAGCCAAAAUGCUGUCUGCUUAAGAGAAGAUUUGUACAAUGAAUUCAUGAACACAAGAAGGGUUCCUCUUACAGGAGGGCAGAAAGAUUCCUGCUCUCAAACUGGCCAGUGGCCCUUUGGAGCAAGUGUUACUUAGGGAUAGAUGGUUAUUGAUAAACCAGCAUCAGUGACAGUAGCUCCAGGACUGCUCGAAUAUCCAGAAGCUCAGUGGGAGCAUGGCCAUACGGGAAAGGAUGAGACCCGCAGAGAGAGUGAGGUGGACAGAUAAAAAGCUGUGAUCCUGAUUUCUGCAAACUUAAGGUGAGAGAAGUGAACAAUCUUUCUAGUGAGACUGUAGAUGGGAAACGCAGGGAUGAGUAGCACACGAUCAAGUUAUAAUGAAGACUUUUCUACGCAGGGUCAGUCCCUUGUGCCCUAGCUGACCUAGCCUCAUACCGUGUGGAAUUCGAUAGACUGACCAAAGAGCAGACUGCCAGCUUCUUAUACCAGCUACUUAUGUUAGUAUCUGCAUGUACUGGUCUGUGUUUCAUGUAUUCCCAGGAGUGUUAGAAGAGCAGCUAAUUUAGAAAAGGUCUUUGAAAUAAUUUACCCAGAAAUUCUCCUCAGAUGGCACUGACAUAGGUCUCACACCAAGAAUUUCAGUUUAUUGGCGGUGAGCC